rnacentral:rRNA from 1 species
UUUAAAGAGAGUUUGAUCCUGGCUCAGGACGAACGCUGGCGGCGUGCCUAAUACAUGCAAGUCGAACGAACGGAGGAAGAGCUUGCUCUUCCAAAGUUAGUGGCGGACGGGUGAGUAACACGUGGGCAACCUGCCUGUAAGUUGGGGAUAACUCCGGGAAACCGGGGCUAAUACCGAAUGAUAAAGUGUGGCGCAUGCCACGCUUUUGAAAGAUGGUUUCGGCUAUCGCUUACAGAUGGGCCCGCGGUGCAUUAGCUAGUUGGUAGGGUAAUGGCCUACCAAGGCAACGAUGCAUAGCCGACCUGAGAGGGUGAUCGGCCACACUGGGACUGAGACACGGCCCAGACUCCUACGGGAGGCAGCAGUAGGGAAUCUUCCGCAAUGGACGAAAGUCUGACGGAGCAACGCCGCGUGUAUGAAGAAGGUUUUCGGAU